CCCGCCAUGACAGUAGAAUUUCUUGAGGUGCUGCCUUGUUGCGGUAGAUUGCUUUGUUAGUUUCAUUACUUUUUUCAUAUCUAAUAACAAGAGAGAAUCUUCUAUUCAAACGCCUUGUGUUGUAGUGAUGAGCACUCGCAAAUUAAAAUGUUGAUGUAGUGUGACUGGAAUGGUGAUUUAGCAUCGAAUGGAUCAACGGAACGCCAAACUCGGAUGACGCACUUGAAGUAACGCUCAAAAUAAAAUACGAUUCAAAUGUAACUUCGAAGAAGUGAUUUUGGAAAGCAAGCGAGUCUCCGGGAAAGGAAACGAUCUCCCUAAAAUAAAGAGAAGCUUUAUUGACCACGCAGUAAACGAGGAAAGAACCGGCACAUGAACAUCAUAGGAGGACCAAAACUUCCAUAAGACAGGUGGCCAUUUCUAUGUCUUCUAUGGUAAAUGGAUACAACAUCAAUAACAAUACCAACUUAACAUAAGAAUGUAACUGGACCGACCGAAGACAGAGCUCGAAAUACUGUUGGUUCAGUUUAACAAGUCUCGAACUUGCAAGAGGGCCAAGAACGCGUGAAGAGGAAGUUAUUUGAAACGACUGCUAAUCAAGGUGAUAUCACCAUGUUUGUCUGGAAUACAGUGCUGUAAUCCAAAUAUAUCUUACUCACUUUCAGAAAUCCCAUAACUACUUUAAUAUAAUAAAGUUAAACGCAAAGGUAAACAAGAUGCAAUCGAAACCCUUCAAAACCCGAAACCAAAAGCCUUCAAACUGACCAAACCGACCAUCCAAGCCCUUCAGUUGUUGCCACUAAAAGUGUGAAAAGUUAUUCAGUGAGAGGCGCCUUCGGGUCUAUCAGCCUGUACACAAAGGACUAAAUCUGAUCAGAUUAACUGGUUACGUGCUGAUUUUUUUGGUAAUUACCACAACUGAUGACAUUAUUCAUUAAAUUGUCGUGUGUCCUCAACAGACGAUGCCGACUUCGUCCUUGUGAUAAUCUCUUAAGCUGUUCCAGACCAAACAACUAUGCAUUAUGCAUUUGCUAGACUAUAAUGAGUUCUGUUGGUUUGUUCUGUUCAAACAUUAAUUGUUUGCAAUAAUGCUAACAAUAAUAUUAAUGAUCAUAGUAGUGGUCAUA